CUCAUGUUUCUUAUGCCUUGCACUAAAGGGAUUGUAAUAUUCAUCCAUUGUCUUUGCUCUUUUCUUCUUCUCACCAAUAGCUUAAAUAUUUUGUAUCAUUUGAUGGCGAAUAUCUGCCGGCACCUUGCGGCAUAGUUUUACUUCUUUUUUUACUCCUGUAAAAUAUUGUUUGAAGUGAUUGAUCCCACUACCAGCAAAUGCCUUUCCAUAGUAC
rnacentral:lncRNA from 1 species